GACUCUGGAGAGUCUCACAAUGAAGUGAGCGCCGAAGGUGUACGGAAGGCUUCCGCGGUUUUCCAAUCUCUCAGGCAAAAGGACAGGGCAU
rnacentral:ncRNA from 1 species